rnacentral:rRNA from 1 species
UCGAUUAGAGUUUGAUCCUGGCUCAGGACGAACGCUGGCGGCGUGCCUAAUACAUGCAAGUCGAGCGGAUUUAUCCUUCGGGAUAAGUUAGCGGCGGACGGGUGAGUAACACGUAGGCAACCCGCCUAUAAGACUGGGAUAACUAUCGGAAACGAUAGCUAAGACCGGAUAACCGAUUUUCUCGCAUGAGAAAAUUAUGAAACACGGAGCAAUCUGUGGCUUAUAGAUGGGCCUGCGGCGCAUUAGCUAGUUGGUAGGGUAACGGCCUACCAAGGCGACGAUGCGUAGCCGACCUGAGAGGGUGAACGGCCACACUGGGACUGAGACACGGCCCAGACUCCUACGGGAGGCAGCAGUAGGGAAUCUUCCGCAAUGGACGCAAGUCUGACGGAGCAACGCCGCGUGAGUGAUGAAGGUUUUCGGAUCGUAAAGCUCUGUUGCCCUAGACGAACAGCAAGAGGAGUAACUGCCUUUUGUGUGACGGUAUAGGAGAAGAAAGCCCCGGCUAACUACGUGCCAGCAGCCGCGGUAAUACGUAGGGGGCAAGCGUUGUCCGGAAUUAUUGNGCGUAAAGCGCGCGCAGGCGGUCAAUUAAGUUGGGUGUUUAAGCCCGGGGCUCAACCCCGGUUCGCAUCCAAAACUGGUCGACUUGAGUGUAAGAGAGGAAAGUGGAAUUCCACGUGUAGCGGUGAAAUGCGUAAAGAUGUGGAGGAACACCAGUGGCGAAGGCGACUUUCUGGCCUAUAACUGACCCUUGAGGCCGAAAGCUGGGGAGCAAACAGGAUUAGAUACCCUGUAGUCCACCGCCUAAAG